UUACGGUCAAAUCACGCUGAAAACACCGGUUCUCGUUCGAUCACCGAAGUUAAGCAUCGUAGAGCCAGGUCAGUACUUAGAUGGGG